CUGUAAUGAUGUUGAUCAAAUGUCUGACCUGAAAAAAAACCUGUAGAGAAAUCUUAACACUGAAGAA